CAGUCACAUCAACGCCCGAGUCUAUGGUGAUGAUAAUGUUUGUGCAAAGUGGAUGCCAAGUGACUGCACAAUCAAGGUUUCUGAGUAGUUGAAAUAGAUAAGUCUUGAGUCAAUCAGUACAUCUGUACCACAUUCAUGUGGCAAAUGCUGCUUUAUGGAGAUGUUUCUAAUACUGACCUACAAUAAUUCAGCCAAGAUCACGUUUCUACUGUCUUCAGGAAAUGAGAAAAAUGAAUCCAGGAAAUUUCCAUCUUUAACUAUACUCUGUAAAUGUGCUGUCCAAUACACAGAUAGCUACUGAGCACUGGAAUAUAGCUAGUCUGAAUGGAGAUGUUCUGUUUGACUUUUUUGGACUCCACAUGUGUGAGAUCAUGCAAUAUUUGUCUUUCUGUGCCUGGCUUAUUUCACUUAGCGUAAUGUCCUCCAGGCUCAUCCAGGUUGUUGCAAAAGGCAGGAUUUUCUUCUUUUUUAAGGCUUGGAGAGUCAUUUGUUUUCA
rnacentral:lncRNA from 1 species